AUCGCUUCUCGGCCUUUUUGGCUAAGAUCAAGUGUAGUAUCUGUUCUUAUCAGUUUAAUAUCUGAUACGUCCCCCUACCCGGGGACUACAUAUUAAAUUGAUUUUUUUGGAUCACGGAGCUGGAGCCGGGGCUUGCUCUGUCCACUCCACGCAUCGGCCUGGUAUUGCAGUGUUUCCAGGAACGGUGUGCUUCCC
ensembl:snRNA U2 U2 spliceosomal RNA